GACAGAGGAUGCAAGCGUUAUCCGGAAUGAUUGGGCGUAAAGCGUCUGUAGGUGGCUUUUCAAGUCCGCCGUCAAAUCCCAGGGCUCAACCUGGGAAUGGCGAUGGAAACUGGGCAGCUAGAGUGUGUCAGAGGAUGGUGGAAUUCCCGGUGUAGCGGUGAAAUGCGUAGAGAUCGGGAGGAACAUCAGUGGCGAAGGCGGCCAUCUGGGACAACACUGACGCUGAAGCACGAAAGCGUGGGGAGCAAACAGG
rnacentral:rRNA from 1 species